CUCUGUAAGCUGUAAUAUUUUUUUAAUCCUCUCUAAUUUAGAUGCUGUAGAUCAUCCAUCCAUCCAUCCACUCAAGACAUAAUCUCUGAAACAUAAAGAAUUAAUUGAUGGUACUGUAACAUGGAUCCCGCUCUCCCAUGUGCUUCUUCGAACUAGAUGCUGGCUCCAACUCCCGGAGUUUGGCUGAUAUGUGACACCUGGCUCUCUGGAGGUGCCAUGGAAGGUGACCUUCUCAGGCUCCGCCUACUACCCACCUGUCUUCUGCCGUCAUCUCUAUCCUCCUUCCUGCCCUCUCCUGUGAGCAAAGCAUGCACAGAAAUGCACAUUCAACAACAGGACAAGUAAGAACGUGGCAGCGACUCAGGGAAGGAAGUAGCUACUGACUCCAUGUGGAAGACGUAGACCACCAGAAAAACACAUAAAAGAAAUAAGGACUUCACAGGAUCUUCCUCAAUGUCCUCCUCCCCGCUAAAUUGCAUUUACCAGAAACAAACAUUGCAUUUGCAAGCCAGAAUUGACCAAAAAUAUAUGUAAAAAUGAG
rnacentral:lncRNA from 1 species